rnacentral:rRNA from 1 species
UCCGGAGGGUGCAAGCGUUAUCCGGAUUCACUGGGCUUAAAGGGUGCGUAGGCGGGUUGGUAAGUCCGUGGUGAAAUCCCCAAGCUUAACUUGGGAACUGCCGUGGAUACUAUCAAUCUUGAAUAUCGUGGAGGUAAGCGGAAUAUGUCAUGUAGCGGUGAAAUGCUUAGAUAUGACAUAGAACACCAAUUGCGUAGGCAGCUUACUACACGAUCAUUGACGCUGAGGCACGAAAGCGUGGGGAGCAAACAGG